AUCCAACUGGUGGGUCCCAAAUAGGACGAAACGCACGUCCUGGAU
rnacentral:hammerhead_ribozyme from 1 species